GACGAACGCUGGCGGCGUGCUUAACACAUGCAAGUCGAACGGAAAGGCCCUGCUUUUGUGGGGUGCUCGAGUGGCGAACGGGUGAGUAACACGUGAGUAACCUGCCCUUGACUUUGGGAUAACUUCAGGAAACUGGGGCUAAUACCGGAUAGGAGCUCCUGCUGCAUGGUGGGGGUUGGAAAGUUUCGGCGGUUGGGGAUGGACUCGCGGCUUAUCAGCUUGUUGGUGGGGUAGUGGCUUACCAAGGCUUUGACGGGUAGCCGGCCUGAGAGGGUGACCGGCAACAUGGGGACUGAGAUACGGCCCAGACCCCCACGGGGGGAAGGGGUGGGGAAUAUUGCACAAGGGGGGGAAGCCUGAGGCAGCAACGCCGGGUGGGGGAGGACGGCCUUGGGGUUGAAAACCGCUUUCCCCUGUGACGAAGGGUGGGUGGCGGUAAUGGGUAAAGAAGCACCGGCUAACUACGU
rnacentral:rRNA from 1 species